UGUGUAUCACAAUCAUCUCACAGUUAGCA
rnacentral:piRNA from 1 species